rnacentral:rRNA from 1 species
ACGUAGGGGGCGAGCGUUGUUCGGAUUUACUGGGCGUAAAGAGCGCGUAGGUGGUUCGAUAAGUCAGAGGUGAAAUCCCUCGGCUCAACCGAGGACCCGCGUCUGAUACUGUCGAACUUGAGUGCAGGAGAGGAGAGCGGAAUUCCGAGUGUAGCGGUGAAAUGCGUAGAUAUUCGGAGGAACACCGGUGGCGAAGGCUGCUCUCUGGACUGUCACUUACACUGAGGCGCGAAAUCUAGUGGAGCAAACGG